rnacentral:rRNA from 1 species
CAGCCGCCGCGGUAAUACGAAGGGGGCUAGCGUUGUUCGGAAUUACUGGGCGUAAAGCGCACGUAGGCGGAUAUUUAAGUCAGGGGUGAAAUCCCGCAGCUCAACUGCGGAACUGCCUUUGAUACUGGGUAUCUUGAGUAUGGAAGAGGUUAGUGGAAUUGCGAGUGUAGAGGUGAAAUUCGUAGAUAUUCGCAGGAACACCAGUGGCGAAGGCGGCUAACUGGUCCAUAACUGACGCUGAGGUGCGAAAGCGUGGGGAGCAAACAGGAUUAGAUACCCCUGUAGUCCCUGUCUCUUAUAC